rnacentral:lncRNA from 1 species
AUCAACUCAUGGUCAGCAAGGAUACAAUACUAGCCAGCAGCCUAGUCCUAAUCCUAGUUACCCACCCCAAGGACCUACACAGCCAGGUUAUGGCGUUCCUCCAACUUCCCAAGCAGCGUAUGGUACUCAACCACCUUCAGGAUACGGGCCUAGUUAUGCGGCACCGCAGGCUCAGAAACCUGCAGCUGGUCAGGCUGCUUAUGGGCAGCCCCAGCAGUCACCUACUGGCCAAGGGGGCUAUGUCCAGCCUGCUGCUGUGCAGGCAAGUUAUCCUCAUUCUCAGCCACCUCAGGCACAAGCUGGUUAUGCCCAGCCAGAUUCUGCUGCCCAGAGAGCUCCAACAUCUGCUUAUGGUACUGCACAGGCUUCAGGGUAUGCCCCACCAGCAUAUGGUGCAGCACCAGUGACUCAGCCAGGUUAUGGGGGGCAGCAGCCACCACCAUAUAACAGUUCGUAUGGAAGUGGUUAUUCUCAGCCUGCUGCGUAUUCUGCUGAUGGCUCUGCAGCUCCAGCUUCUCAGGCUGUUCCGCCUAGUGGGGUUGCCAAAGCUUCCCCCCAGAGUUGAGAUAUUGUGUGGUAAGCGGAUAAGAAAUUGUGGUCGCAUCUGAUUUUGGAAUUCUGGUGUAAUGUCAUUUAAUAGGGUUUUUAAUUAGGUUUUGUAGUGCAUCAGACUAGUAUUUGUGGUUUAAUGAUUUUGAUUGGAUGGUUUAUAAUGUUUUCUUAUGUACUCUGGCUGCUUUAAGGAUGAUUGUUCUAAGUUUAAAAAUGCAUAUGGGUUGCAGCUUGUCUUCUAUUUAUAUGGAAAUGCUAGAAAUGGAUAGCCAGCAGCAGCAGCAGGGUGAAUGUUUUUCUUUUCUUUAUUGUAGCAUUUAUUACUCCUCCUUACAUUUAAAAUUAAGAUAUCUAUGUAUGUCCUUUGGAACAAACUCUAUUAUCUGAUGGUUUGAAAUGGUAGGUAGGUAGAUAGGUAGGUAGGAGCUAUUAUUCCUCGAAAGCAGCAGUAAUUUCUGGUGGGUCAUUGGAGUGUGGUUGCAGAGGGUGUGCGAUCAAAUUCUCAUUCUCGGGUGCUCACGCAAGUGUAACUAGUUAGUUGUUUAUAUAUAAGGAAGGCGGUGGACGUGGAGUUUUAAAACAUAUUGGGGAUGAUAUCGAUUCGCAAACUUUUAUUUGUUCUGGACAAACCCCCAGUACUUGAACUAAAAUCCUUUUAUAAAGGAAUUAUUUAGGCGGAGUUUUCUUUCUCUUUUAUAUUUUCAAAAUUCAUAAUUAUUUCGUUUUAAAAAGUAUACAUAUAUAUAUAUAUAUAUAUAUAGUUUAAAGUUUGUAUUCUGAUAUGUUAAAUGAAGUAAACAGUUCGAAUUUUAUUUGUAUUUUUCUAUUCGAGCUCGAUUCAAAAUAUAAAUAAUUUAAAUAUGAGUAAAUUUUAUCUUUUUAAAUUAUAAUUUUUUCAAACUCUUCAAAUUUUAUUUUAUACUCAAUUGUGUGAUGCAUUUACCCCCCUUAUUUUGAGUAUUUAUUUAUGAAACCUCCCUUAUCCUAAAAAUGUUGCAGUUAGACUAAUGAAUAUUAUGUUGGUCCACCACGCAAACAACACAAUAAAAAGCCAAAGCGCAUUAAAGUACUACUACACGUUGGCACACGUUUAUAUGUUUUUACAUUAUUUAUUUAAAAAAGUGAAUAUUUAUUUUAUAUGAUUUGAAGAUGUGAGUUCAGAACUUUAUAAUACUCUUCUGGUGGACUUUUCAUAUAUUAAGAAGAUGAAUGAAAUGAUAAAAUUAUCCAUAAUAAUGUUAUUAAAUAUGAAGAGAGAAUUAGAAUAAAAAAAGUAUGAGAUAUUUAAUGUUACGGGUAUCAUAGGAAAAUAUGGGUAAAAGUUUGAUUAUUAAAGGAAAAUAGACAUUUAACAUGAGACUACCAAAAAUAGUAAUAAUGACUUUUAUCAUGGGAUGGAGAGAGUAAUAAAUACUUAUAAAUUUGAAAUNNNNNNNNNNNNNNNNNNNNNNNNNNNNNNNNNNNNNNNNNNNNNNNNNNNNNNNNNNNNNNNNNNNNNNNNNNNNNNNNNNNNNNNNNNNNNNNNNNNNAAUUUUUGUUUAUUGGAUUGAAGAGUAGCCUGUUCACUUGUUCAAUAUAUUAGUCUUGAAUAAAUUUGAUUGGUCAGCUGGAUAUUAUUCUUUCGUCAUGAAUUUUAUACCAGUGAAAUGUUAUGCUUCGGAGCAUAAUUGCGGUUCAAGGUAGCUCUUGGUAUCUUCCCUUGAUCGUUUUCUUAAAUAUGGUGCUUCACUUGCCUAAAUAUUUUUUUGCUUGGAUUUGUAUGAAAUUAAUUGAGUUGUAACCGUGUAUAUAGCUCAUGUUGACCCAUUGUUUCUCUUUUCCCCCUUUACUACAUGUCCUUAUUUUAUUCUUCCACUAUUUUUUAAUCCUCUCUUGAGGGUUUCUCACACGUUUAAAACAAUUGAAUAACAGUUAUCCUAUUUUAUUUAUAAUUCAUCUGAAACCUCUCUUAUUCUCUGUGCUGAUCUCUUUCUAGGGUUUGUUUAUCAUCUCUUUUUAUUGUUUUAAUUGCCUAAAGGUUCUUAUGCAGUUAUAAUCUGUGAAAAGUAUAGGGGUUAAUUGACUAAUUCUUUUUUUGACAUUCAGUCAACUUCUAAGUUCUUGUUAACAAACCUCUCAACAGUUUCCUUUUCGCAUAUUCAAUUCUCGCUGAUCCUGACAUUUCUCUCUAUUGCAUAUUGUGAAGCAAUAGUUACUAGAUAUUUUGUAUUUAGCGGUAUUGCUCGUUUUAGUACAUGUGUUUUUUUACCUGGGAGGUGGUAUUAUGAACGUAAUAAGAUCCUUUGUCCUUUUGUGUAAUACAAUAAUUCUUAUGUUGAUAAUUCAAUUGAUCGACUGGAUGGUCGCUGCAUAUCUUGCUUCUAGUACGAUCUUUGUAUAUGUUUCUGCAAUUUUCUUUUGUACCCAUUCACUUCGAAUAGGGAGAGGAUGGGGCAUCUGCUGGAGUAGCAAUAGUACCACUCAACCAGUACGGUAUGUAGGCGCCUAACUAAAUCCGUCUUAAUACAGUUAUGCACUUCAUCUCCUUGUGUAGUUUUGAUAGUGAAUUGACAUACUGUGCUAUCGUGUUGGUUUCUGGGCAUGUUAUUUUGUAGCUGUGAGUGUAUGUAUAAUGCUUUUAUUCUUUCACAAGGAUAUUUCUUAUAAUUCAUUGGAUUAGGUUCCUUGGUUCAUAUGAGAUAACAACUUUGUGCAGAAUCGUCUUAGAAACCCAUCAAUGACGGGAUAUUCUCAGCAAGGUUACCAAGCUCGACCUCCUACAAACUGGGCCUCUCCUGGUCAGCAACAACCUGGUUAUGGAUAUAUUCAGCCUGGAGCGUAUCCCGGACAGGCACCACAGUAUAAUAUGUCUCAAUCACAGUAUCCUGGUUAUCCUCCGCAACCCGCUUCUGGUGGAUAUGCAGGCUGGGACCAGACCACUGCAGCAACUAAUCAGCAGACUGCUCAGGGAGGCGGCUAUGACUACUACAGCCAGCAAUCAGCUCCACAGCAGCAGCAAGCCCCUGGUGGUGCCUCAGGUCCCGCAGAUAAUGCUGCCUACGGUUACAAUCAGCAAGCAGCGUCUGGUUACAAUCAACAAGGUCAGGGUUAUACCCAAGAUGGCUAUGGUGGGUACCAUGCAUCUGCCCCUCAACCGGGUUAUGGUCCACCCCAGUCAGGUUAUGAUCAGCAACAAGGUUACAACUCUACUCCUGGAUAUGGUACCGUUGCCAACCCAACACCUGAAGGGCAAACCCCUUCCUAUGGUGCUCAGGGUGAUGGCAGUCAAGUAAUCCCAUCAACUCAUGGUCAGCAAGGAUACAAUACUAGCCAGCAGCCUAGUCCUAAUCCUAGUUACCCACCCCAAGGACCUACACAGCCAGGUUAUGGCGUUCCUCCAACUUCCCAAGCAGCGUAUGGUACUCAACCACCUUCAGGAUACGGGCCUAGUUAUGCGGCACCGCAGGCUCAGAAACCUGCAGCUGGUCAGGCUGCUUAUGGGCAGCCCCAGCAGUCACCUACUGGCCAAGGGGGCUAUGUCCAGCCUGCUGCUGUGCAGGCAAGUUAUCCUCAUUCUCAGCCACCUCAGGCACAAGCUGGUUAUGCCCAGCCAGAUUCUGCUGCCCAGAGAGCUCCAACAUCUGCUUAUGGUACUGCACAGGCUUCAGGGUAUGCCCCACCAGCAUAUGGUGCAGCACCAGUGACUCAGCCAGGUUAUGGGGGGCAGCAGCCACCACCAUAUAACAGUUCGUAUGGAAGUGGUUAUUCUCAGCCUGCUGCGUAUUCUGCUGAUGGCUCUGCAGCUCCAGCUUCUCAGGCU